rnacentral:rRNA from 1 species
UUGAACGCUGGCGGCAUGCCUUGCACAUGCAAGUCGAACGGCAGCGCGGGGCAACCUGGCGGCGAGCGGCGAACGGGUGAGUAAUGCAUCAGAACAUGUCCAUGUCGUGGGGGAUAGCCCGGCGAAAGCCGGAUUAAUACCGCAUACGCCCGAGAGGGGAAAGUGGGGGACCGCAAGGCCUCACGCGAUUGGGUUGGCCGAUGUCCGAUUAGCUUGUUGGUGAGGUAAAGGCUUACCAAGGCGAUGAUCGGUAGCUGGUCUGAGAGGAUGAUCAGCCACACUGGGACUGAGACACGGCCCAGACUCCUACGGGAGGCAGCAGUGGGGAAUUUUGGACAAUGGGGGCAACCCUGAUCCAGCCAUUCCGCGUGAGUGAAGAAGGCCUUCGGGUUGUAAAGCUCUUUUGUCCGGAGCGAAACGGUUACGGUGAAUAUCCGUGACUACUGACGGUACCGGAAGAAUAAGCACCGGCUAACUACGU